GGCGGUGCAACGAUCGGGGCGAGCUCGGCGGCGCCAGCGGCCUUCUAUGGCAUCCGUCUCCACCCUCGGCGUCUUAUCGCUUGUAAGACCCCCCUCCUCUUCUUAACCUCUCCUCCUCCAUUAAUUUCUGAAUUUCUAGGGUUAGGGUUAUUGAUUUUUGGGAGCAGUGCAGGGGAAGGGGAAGAAACUAGGGAAGAAAAGGAAAAAAAAGAGGAGUUUAGGGAGUGAUGGAAGUGAUGCUGGAGACAGGCACCUGACAGUGAGAUGAUGGAGGUGGAGAAGAAGGCCUAGCCGAUGACAUAGAAGAAGAGGAGAGCUCAAUGCUACGGAGCAAAAGGAACAACGGUAGAGUAUCAGACUUUGAUUCAGCUGAGACAUUUUAGUUUUUUCGCAAGACAUGUGAAUCCUCUCUGCGUUUCUGCUUUUGUUUAGAAUUCACGAAUUUUCUUCCUUGUAGCUAUAAAUGAUGGUUCCGACUUAAUUGGAUGUUAGUAAU
rnacentral:lncRNA from 1 species